GGCGGGCCUAAGGCAUGCAAGUCGUGCGAGAAAGUCUCCUUCGGGAGGCGAGUACAGCGGCGCACGGGUGAGUAACGCGUGGGUAAUCUGCCUUCGGAUCCGGGACAACCUCGGGAAACUGGGGCUAAUACCGGGUGAGCCCACGAGGUCUUCGGACCUCGCCGGGAAAAGGUGGCCUCUCCUUGGAAGCUACCGUCCGAAGAUGAGCCCGCGUCCCAUUAGCUUGUUGGUGGGGUAACGGCCUACCAAGGCUCCGAUGGGUAGCUGGUCUGAGAGGACGAUCAGCCACACUGGAACUGACACACGGUCCAGACUCCUACGGGAGGCAGCAGUGAGGAAUUUUGCGCAAUGGGGGAAACCCUGACGCAGCAACGCCGCGUGAGUGAUGAAGGCCUUUGGGUCGUAAAGCUCUGUCAAGUGGGAAGAAAUUGUCGGCGGUUAAUACCCGUUGAUAUUGACGGUACCACUGAAGGAAGCACCGGCUAACUCCGUG
rnacentral:rRNA from 1 species